rnacentral:rRNA from 1 species
GGAGUUUGGGCCGUGUCUCAGUCCCAAUGUGGCCGUUCACCCUCUCAGGCCGGCUACUGAUCGUCGCCUUGGUGGGCCGUUACCUCACCAACUAGCUAAUCAGACGCGGGUCCAUCUUAUACCACCGGAGUUUUUCACACUGCUUCAUGCGAAGCUGUGCGCUUAUGCGGUAUUAGCACCUAUUUCUAAGUGUUAUCCCCCGGUAUAAGGCAGGUUACCCACGCGUUACUCACCCGUCCGCCACUAAGUUUAUAAUCACUAGGUUUCAUAUAAACUCCGUUCGACUUGCAUGUGUUAAGCACGCCGCCAGCGUUCAUC